ensembl:lncRNA
GCUGAGGUCUAUGGUGAUAGGUGGGAUGGGCUGAGAGUGGCUGAGGGGGUGGGAUUAAAGAGCUGAGGUCUAUGGUGAUAGGUGGAAUGGGCUGAGAGUGGCUGAGGGGGUGGGAUUAAAGAGCUGACAUCUAUGGUGAUAGGUGGGAUGGGCUGAGAGUGGCUGAGGGGGGAUUAAAGAGCUGAGGUCUAUGGUGAUAGGUGGGAUGGGCUGAGAGUGGCUGAGGGGCGGGAUUAAAGAGCUGAGGUCUAUGGUGAUAGGUGGGAUGGGCUGAGAGUGGCUGAGGGGCGGGAUUAAAGAGCUGAGGUCUAUGGUGAUAGGUGGGAUGGGCUGAGAGUGGCUGAGAGGCGGGAUUAAAGAGCUGAGGUCUAUGGUGAUAGGUGGGAUGGGCUGAGAGUGGCUGAGGGGACGGGAUUAAACAGCUGAGGUCUAUGGUGAUAGAUGGGAUGGGCUGAGAGUGGCUGAGGGGCGGGAUUAAAGAGCUGAGGUCUAUGGUGAUAGGUGGGAUGGGCUGAGAGUGGCUGAGGGGCGGGAUUAAAGAGCUGAGGUCUAUGGUGAUAGGUGGGAUGGGCUGAGAGUGACUGAGGGGUGGGAUUAAAGAGCUGAGGUCUAUGAUGAUAGGUGGGAUGGGCUGAGAGUGGCUGAGGGGCGGGAUUAAAGAGCUGACGUCUAUGGUGAUAGGUGGGAUGGGCUGAGAGUGGCUGAGGGGUGGGAUUAAAGAGCUGAGGUCUAUGGUGAUAGGUGGGAUGGGCUGAGAGUGGCUGAGGGGCGGGAUUAAAGAGCUGAGGUCUAUG